AACUGAUACUACCUGCGGGAACCUGCGGAAGGAUCAUUACAGAGUUACUACUCCAAACCCAUUGUGAACCUUACCUAUGUUCUGUUGCCUCGGCGGCGUGGUCAGCGCCCCUCUGAAAAGAGGACGAUGCCCUCCCGCCGGCAGCACCAAACUCUUGAAUUUUACAGCGGAUUACAGUUCUGAUUUGAAAACAAAAAACAAGUUAAAACUUUCAACAAUGGAUCUCUAGAUCGGAAGAGC
rnacentral:misc_RNA from 1 species